GAUUUUGCAAUAUUUGGAUUAACAAUCAAUUAUAUUGAUUAAUGAGGACUGAAACCAUUAUUGGAAAUUUGAAGUGCAUGAAGUGAAAAAAUAGCAAGUCCAACAUUUGAAGGUGGGACCACUUAAAGAGUGUGUACAAGGAAAGAAGUUGUUUCUUGGGGUGUGCCCCAUGGGAUAAGAUGCAGACCACAUGAGUCUCUAUCCUCUCUGGUAUUAAGCGUCGAGUAGAGGUUGAGCCACGUGACAUAACAAAUACUCAACAAGGCCAUGAUUUUAAAUACUUAAAAUUCAAUUUUGAUUAAAAUAAUUGUGAAAUCCUCUCUCAUUUAAGAACAUUGAUUGAUUGAAAAAAAAUAUUUAAGUUAAAAUUAUAAUUAUUAAAUAUUUUUUUGACCAAUCAUAUUUUUUAGUACCCGGAGUAACACAAAACAGUGGAAUAGUAAAUGUGCACCCCUUCCGUACCCACUUCUUCUCUCCUCCUUCUUAAAAUUAGCCAUCACCAACCCUUCUUAUCUGGUUAUGAUUCCAGCAAGUCCUGCUAUGAGCAGUCGAUUUUGAUGGUGGUAAACACACAUAUGUGUUUGCAACCAUUAGUUCCUGCUCCGUGAUGGCGUCGAGCUCCGUCACACUGUGUUUGCAACUGCUGGUUCCUGCUUCGUGAUGGCAUCGAGCUCGACCAUCAUUGUUCCACCGCCAAGCACAAUUCAAGUUUGAGAAAUUCCAUCACUGCCUUUUCUUUGGUAAAUCGGAUCUGUGUUUGGUGUCUCAAGUAAAAGCAUAUAAUUCUCAAUUUCUUGCUUCUUUGGAAGGCAGGAAGAAGGAUGUGAAAGAGCUACUUUUGCUAAGGAUGGGAGAAGAACGGGUUACAUGUAUAGUGUAAUUUGAUUACAUUAUUAUAGUGUAUGUUUGAAAAUAUUUACGGACUAGUGUAUAUUCUCUCUCCUCCAUUGAAGUCGUGUUUCUCUAAAAACGAUUUUCAUUGUAUAUAAAUAACAAAAAUAUGUUUUAGCCUAGUGGUUCUUGAAUUAUAUGGCAACCUAUAAGUCUUUGGUUCAACUCUCAUCUAUUGUUUAUUUUUCUUUUUAUAUUUUUUUAUAACUUUGACAUAUAUUAUUUGUACAAG
rnacentral:lncRNA from 1 species